rfam:Steinernema glaseri strain NC unplaced genomic scaffold GLAS_7331, whole genome shotgun sequence.
GCCGGCUUAGCUCAGUGGUAGAGCGUCUGUCUCGUAAACAGAAGGCCGCAGGUUCGAUCCCUGCAGUCGGCA